GAACGCUGGCGGAAUGCUUUACACAUGCAAGUCGAACGGCAGCACGGACUUCGGUCUGGUGGCGAGUGGCGAACGGGUGAGUAAUAUAUCGGAACGUGCCCAGUCGUGGGGAUAACGUAGUGAAAAUUACGCUAAUACCGCAUACGAUCUAAGGAUGAAAGCGGGGGAUCGCAAGACCUCGCGCGAUUGGAGCGGCCGAUAUCAGAUUAGGUAGUUGGUGAGGUAAAGGCUCACCAAGCCAACGAUCUGUAGCUGGUCUGAGAGGACGACCAGCCACACUGGAACUGAGACACGGUCCAGACUCCUACGGGAGGCAGCAGUGGGGAAUUUUGGACAAUGGACGCAAGUCUGAUCCAGCCAUUCCGCGUGCAGGACGAAGGCCUUCGGGUUGUAAACUGCUUUUGUACAGAACGAAAGGUCUCUAUUAAUACUAGGGGCUCAUGACGGUACUGUAAGAAUAAGCACCGGCUAACUACGUG
rnacentral:rRNA from 1 species